GGCCACGCUUCUCUCCUCAAUUAAAAAACACUACAUGACGCUCUCAGCCCUUGGGAUCCUCCGCAGGAGCAGCUGGGUCUUUGUUCUACCUGCACUGUAGCUCAGCACCUCGCUCCUCCUACAGUCCUGCCUCCCCAUUUCCUGAGGCAUGCUGACCCUACAGCUCUUCAGGAUGCUUCCUGCAUUCCUGUAUCCAUCUCUAGUCUGCCUUACAGAGAAACUGACCUUGAGCACCUAUUUCAUUCAUCACUGAGUUCGGAUGGGAAAUGAGGAAAGAGGAAAAAUCCAUGCUCCUGCCAAGAGUGUGUGCCAAGGAGUUGGGGAAGUCGCUGGGCCCUCCUAUGCUCAGUUUCAAUCUCCUAAACUGGGAAUAGAAGGGAGAGACAUCCCUCAGGAAGAAAGCAGAGAAGAAGCUAUAGCCUCAAUUAGGAGCAGCCCUCAUAGUGAGGCUGGGGCAGGUGCCAUGCUCCACGAGGCCCUGACAACCCAUGAUCACAUGGGGAAUUAUUCCUGGGAAGACGGAAGUGCAAGCAAGAAUCACCAAAGAUUUGAGGAACAGCACUGCAGCUAACAAAUUCAAGAAAAACAAUAACUCAAAAACAAAUAGCAAUCAAAAGAACUUCACACCUGAGCAAAUAUGAAAAAACAAAAUGUGUAAAGUUCUUUAAAGUUAGUAUACUUAAUGAUCUUAUAAGGAAAACAAAAGAGAAGUAAAUUCAUAAACCAACAUCAGGCAUGUAAUAAUAUGAAACAGAAAUAGGCGGGCAUGAGGUAACAACAACCAUCUUGAAAAAAUACCAAAACACAGACUUUGGAAAUGAAAACAUAAUCAGUGCUGAAAUUUUUUAAAAAAACUUAAUAGGUUGACUAGCUGACUAUACAUAAAUAAGUAUAAUAGUAAGUUAGUAAGCUGGGUGAUUAUGUAGGGGAAAUUUCCUGUGGUACAGCACAGAGACACACCCAAACAAAGUAAUGUGGAUAGGUAAAAAUAUACCACAAUAUUGUGGUAUAUCUUUUCCUAUUGCUCUAUUUUUACCUAUCCACAUUACUACAUUACUUUGAGAGGUGUGAGUCAUAAAGUAUUAUGUCUCCAAAAAUAAGAAUUGGGCGUAUAUGACUCAAAAAUGCAUAGUAUAGUGUCAGGAAGAUGGCAGAAUCUGUGCUUAGAGCAGCAAGUGCCUUCCUGUGAACUUCAAUCCUUCAGUAAAGAUCAACUAAGUACACAGAUGCUUACAAUUUUUGUGGAAAUCACGUGGAGAAUUGAAAUUUAAAUUUAGGUGACUUGGGGAAGCAUAGAUAAAAUCUGAAUGUUUGAGAGGACCAGGAACCUGGGAGUCCAUGAGCCAAAAUUCUCCUUUAUCUGCCAUAUUUCACCCUGACUCAUCACAGCAGGUGCAGAUAACCAGGGACGACUUUGGGACACAUGAGAAACUGGGAGCCAGUGGAUGCUCCAGAAGACUAAAGAUGUAAGACUGUGGGCUUAAGAAUCAAAACUUCCUGGUCUGAAAUCCAGCUCUAAUGGGUCCCAGCUGUGUGAUCCUGGGGUCACUAUUAACUUCCCUGUUUCCUGAGUUUCCCCAAGUGUACAACGGAGAGAAUAAUCAUACCAUCUUCAUAAGUUUGUGAUGAGAAUUAAAUGAACUAAUAUAUGCAAAUUACUUAAUACUAUCUGACCAUGUCCUCCAAAAGUUAUAUAUUCAGUAUUACCAUUAUCAUUAUAGAUAGUAGUUAGAUAUUAUCGUUAUUAGGUAGUGUUUUGGUAAUAGCAACAAUUUUAAAAAACAGAUCCUCUGCCCUCAAGAAUUUAUGAUGCUGUGUGACAACCUUGGCCAGUGGCUGGUGGAGGUGGAGUACGACGAUGAUGAGCUGAGGUCAUGUGCCCAGCCCUAGAAUCAUGGAGUCAUUACCAGCACCAGGGGCAUGCUAUAGGCAUGACGUCUGGGGGAAUCAAUAUGACCCCAGUAAGGGUCUACUCAAAUGCUCAUGGAAAAGCUGUUCCAAAUCUUGUCUCAUGCUGGGAUGGGAGAGAAGAAAAUGCUCCCAAAUGUAAAUCAAUAGGAGCAGGUAACAUGGGCUGAGAGGGUGAGGAGACACCAUGUAGAAAUACACUCAUGUAGAGCAGGCUGCACUCACUCACCUGUGAGUCCUGGUAGCAGAGGAAGUGGCAGGGGCUGUCCAGAUGGGCUGGGAGACAGGGAUGGACAUUGCCUGCCCUGUCAGACUGUCUCAUGGAGAGAAUCCAGACUCUACUCUGCAGGAAAGGAGGGCAUCUGCUUAUCUGCUAUGUUGUCUGAGGAGUGAGGUAGCUGUAGGGAGAAAGGGCCAUGAGACUGGGACAAUCCUCCAUUGUGAAAGAGGAAGUGGACACAGUUGCCAUCUCUGGGAAGUUGUGGAUGUCUGUGCUUGGGGUUCCCAGGCCUGGGUAGAUUUAGCCAGUACUGGAGAGAGGUCCACUGCCCCAGAACCUGCUCUCUGUUUCAGAGGCACUCAUCUCAUGCCAGGGGUCCCAUGACCCUUCCUCAUUGACAGCCCAGACCAAGAGGGCUCUGUAGCUAAGGACUGAGCUUGCAAUUUCAGAGACCAUAAUUCCAGAUGUGGCACAUUUGAGGGCUUGUGGCUGUAGCAGCUUUCUGGGAUGAAACCCAGUCCCCUGCACAACCCCUGCAAAAAGUCCCUUAAGUCAACACCAAGGAACCAGCUGAGCAAAUCAAAAGUGACAUUUCUUCUUAGAUCUGUCAGAAAAACGAGGUCACAGGGCAAACCACUGUCCCCAGAAUUGAGGAGUUGGGCAGGGUAAUAUAGAGAAUCACAACUUCCUGAAGCCAAAACCUCUGUGGGAACCAGUGCCGGGGAAGGAAAGCCUGCACUGUAAUUGAAGAAUUUCUUGAGGCUCAGUGUGGGCCAGUCUUAGACACAAACUCGAGGAGGACCCAAUAACGGAGGUCUCCCACACUUUUGUGAGUUUUAUCUCUGGGAGCUUGGUUAGCUCGUCAGAGUGAAUAUAGGAGAAAUAUUCACUUGUGCUCCCAGGACACGGAAAGGAAAAGCAAUCACUUAAAAAUAUACCAGAGUGUCCUAUUGUUCUUUCGCUUGUUCCAUAUAGUAAAUAUGCAAGACAAAGGCAAGCACUGUUCCAACUACUGUUGAUACAUUUUUAGAAAGAAAUAAAACAAUUUAACUCUCAAUGUUUCUAAUGCUUUGAAUUACAGUAUACUAAAUAUUUGAACUUCCUGCUACAUUUCUAACUGACAAUAUGACAGUUUCUAAUACUUUGACAACAAUUAUGAGGAUCACAGAACAACCAUUAUUUUUCCCAUUGAAUGUAGAGUUGUUUACCAGGGCUUCAUGGUUUCCAGUUAUUUUUACAAUCCUGCACUGCCAUGCAAAGUGAGGACAUGCAAAAUAAGUACACGUGGUAAUAUAAUACAGUGCUGAGGAGAAAAACUGAUCAGGAUAAGAGGAAUUGAAAUUCUAGGGUAGGAGAGGAAAAUGACUAUUUUUCCUCACCAUGGUUUACAAAAUGUGUCUUUAAUAAAGUGAAAUUUCAGCAGAAACUUACUUGAAGGAAAGAAGAGAGUGAGCCAUGCAGCUGUUUUGGGGAAGACUCAGAGGAAUGACAGGAUUUGACUUUUCAAAAAAAAAAAAAUCAUGGCCCGGCGCGGUAGCUCACGCCUGUAAUCCCAGCACGUUGGGAGGCCAAAGCGGGC
rnacentral:lncRNA from 1 species